GUUGACAGUUGAGGAAUUCAUGCUGUCUUUUCUAAGACACAGAUCAAGGUUGCUUUUGAAUGCACUAUCAGUUGUUAAAGCCACCGUUUCUUUUUCAGAUGAUUACAUUUUUGUCUCUUGCUCUUUGGUUUCAGACAUUACACGAUGAUCUACUGUCUGGAAAGAUCCGCUCCAACAGAAUGUUCCUUUGGAGGAAUCCCGCCACCUCACUCCGACUAAAGCAGCAUCUUAAGAUAAGGACACUAAGUUGGAGUGAGCAGCGCGUAAGUAAAAAUGCCAUCCAUCAUGAGUAUUUUUACUCUCAGGGGUGUUACAUUUGAAAGGUGUUUACUUUCUGUGUUUUUCUUCAAUAGAUGUUCGAGCUCCUGCGGUUCAUUGAGGUGGCAACAAACAUUUCUAAAAAAAUAAAGAGAGGCGAGAUUCAUCUGCUUGAUUUCGUUUUUGACGUCAUGCUCCCAGAGGUGAGUAGAUCAAACUAUAUAGCUUGCUUUGAAAAUUGAUGAUAUUGUUAAGAGGUUGUUCUUAUUCAUUUGGAAAGCUCAAGAACAACAAUUAACCCAUACUGCAUAACUUCAAUUGUUCACAUUAUUUGACUGUUUUUCAGCUUUUGAUCAAAGCACUGAAGGAGCAUGGCAUCAACCGGUUCAGAGCAGAGCUGAUGAUGGCCUGUGGCAACGUGUUUUAAGACCCCAACCACACCGACGGCAGUGCUGAAUUUUGUAUAUAUAUAUUUUUUUUUACUGUUCACAAUUUUGUUUGGAAAAAAUUAAAGAAAUCUUCAAA
rnacentral:lncRNA from 1 species